rnacentral:tRNA from 1 species
GCCGAAAUAGCUCAGAAGGGAGAGCGUCAGACAGAAGAUCUGAAGGUCCCUGGUUCAAUCCCGGGUUUCGGCA